GACAGAGGGUGCAAACGUUGUUCGGAAUUACUGGGCGUAAAGCGUGUGUAGGCGGCCAUGUAAGUCGGAUGUGAAAGCCCCGGGCUUAACCCGGGAAGUGCACUCGAUACUGCGUGGCUUGAGUAUCGGAGAGGUUGGUGGAAUUCUCGGUGUAGAGGUGAAAUUCGUAGAUAUCGAGAGGAACACCGGUGGCGAAGGCGGCCAACUGGACGAAUACUGACGCUGAGACACGAAAGCGUGGGGAGCAAACAGG
rnacentral:rRNA from 1 species